CCUACGGGUGGCAGCAGUGGGGAAUAUUGGUCAAUGGACGAGAGUCUGAUCCAGCCAAGUAGCGUGAAUGAUGACUGCUCUCUGGAUUGUAAACUUCUUUUAUAUGGGAAUAAAACGUUCCACGUGUGGGAUUUUGUAUGUACCAUAUGAAUAAAGAUCGGCUAACUCCGUGCCAGCAGCCGCGGUAAUACGGAGGUUCCGAGCGUUAUCCGGAUUUAUUGGGUUUAAAGGGAGCGUAGGUGGAUUGUUAAGUCAGAUGUGAAGGUUUGCGGCUCAACCGUAAAAUUGCAGUUGAAACUGGCAGUCUUGAGUACAGUAGAGGUGAGCGGAAUUCGUGGUGUAGCGGUGAAAUGCUUAGAUAUCACGAAGAACUCCGAUUGCGAAGGCAGUUCACUGGACUGCAACUGACACUGAGGCUCGAAAGUGUGGGUAUCAAACAGGAUUAGAUACCCGUGUAGUC
rnacentral:rRNA from 1 species